GACGAACGCUGGCGGCGUGCCUAAUACAUGCAAGUCGAGCGAACAGAUCAUGAGCUUGCUCCUCUGACGUUAGCGGCGCACGGGUGAGUAACGUGUGGAUACCCUACCUAUAUUACUGGGAUAACUUCGGGAAUGCGGAUCUUAUACCGGAUAAUAUAUUGAACCGCAUGGGUCAAUAGUGAAAGACGGCUUUGCUGGCUCUUAUAGAUGGUUCCGCGCCGCAUUAGCUAGUUGGUAAGGUAACGGCUUACCAAGGCAACGAGGCGUAUACGACCUGAGAGGCGGAUAGGCCGCAGUGGAACUGAACCACGGUCCUGACUCCUGAGAUAGGGAGCAGUCGGGAAUCUUACGCAGUAGGCGAGAAUCUGACGGAGCAACGGCGCGUCAGUGAUAACGGUCUUCGGAUCGUAAUAAUGUCUUACGAGGUGAAAACCACUGUGUAAGUAACUAUGCACGUCUUGACGGUACCUAGUAAGAAAGCCACGGCUAACUACGUG
rnacentral:rRNA from 1 species